rnacentral:rRNA from 1 species
CAGCCGCCGCGGGAACACGGAGGAUCCAAGCGUUAUCCGGAAUCAUUGGGUUUAAAGGGUCCGUAGGCGGUCUUGUAAGUCAGUGGUGAAAGCCCAUCGCUCAACGGUGGAACGGCCAUUGAUACUGCAGGACUUGAAUUAUUGGGAAGUAACUAGAAUAUGUAGUGUAGCGGUGAAAUGCUUAGAGAUUACAUGGAAUACCAAUUGCGAAGGCAGGUUACUACCAAUUGAUUGACGCUGAUGGACGAAAGCGUGGGUAGCGAACAGGAUUAGAUACCCGCGUAGUCCCUGUCUCUUAUAC